ensembl:lincRNA Gm14110 predicted gene 14110
AAGGAAACAAAUGCCUAAGUGUUGGGCCCCAUUUUGGCUCUGGUUUGGGCCUUGAGGACAAACCGGAGCCUGGCUCAAGUUUCUGCAGCCUUGUGGGAGAGUCUAAGCCUGGCUUGAGUUUUGUGACCUGUCUCAGUCACUUCCAAGUGACUCAGCAAGAGCUAUUUGUCCCUGCCUCUGCCCCACCGAUGUUGAUGCAGAGUUUUGCCAUUGGCCCUGUCAGUCACUCCAUACCCUCUGUCACCCUUCCCUGCCCCUUACGUCAUCUUACCCCACUGAAAAUCCCCCUGCCUAUGUUCCAAACUUAUAUAAGCGAGAGGCUGAUGCCUGCUUUGACAGACUUCCGUCCUGGGUGUGUUUCUCUUGGGCCAUCCACACUCACCAUCCCACUCAGUCCCGGAGAAACCCUGGCGGGACUGGGGCCUCUCUCCUUUCGCCUAGACCUGCUGGGGACCUAAGAGGAGAAAAGAAAAUGCACCGCCAUGUUUGAUGAAGCCACUUGCCAGGGGCAUCUCAGAAUAACUUUGCCCAUGGUCUCCAGGUAUCCCCAGCAGACAGUGUACCUGGAUGAGAUGAUUGGUGUUUCAACAUCGCCUCUGGGGCUCUCCAUAACCGAGGGGUGUGCACUAUUGAUGUUAACCUAUGGGGGUGAUGAAACGAAGGGACAGAGAAUUGUUCUUCAAGGUCAUGCAGCUGCCUUGGGAAACUGGAAUCUGGAACUGUAGAAUCCUCCUCCACCCUCUGCUGUGUUGAGGAUGGAACUCAUG